rnacentral:lncRNA from 1 species
CAUCAUCUAACCACACGUUACAAAGCCUCUCACUGACCGAGCCUUCACGGCUCCUUGGCUUGACCAGAACCAUCCUUAGUUCCUGAAACCAUAACCAGAUAAGCAUUAAUCAUAACCGAGAAUAGAACGAAUUGAUUAUACAAUGCUUGGCUUGGUCCCUAGAACUUAGAUAAACCUCAAACAACAUAAUCAUAAAAAGUAUGAACCUAUCUACCAUAUCCUAAGUCAUUCAAUCAACCACCCCUUGACUUAGAAUCAGAUAGAUAGUCCAAAAUAGAUAAACAGAACACA